GCUUUCCCUCCAGAGUGGAUCCUGAGUACGGCGGAACACGUGAAAUUCCGUCGGAAUCCGGGAGGACCAUCUCCCAAGGCUAAAUACUCCCUAGUGACCGAUAGUGAACCAGUACCGUGAGGGAAAGGUGAAAAGCACCCCGGAAGGGGAGUGAAACAGUUCCUGAAACCGUGUGCCUACAAGUAGUUAGAGCCCGUUAAUGGGUGAUAGCGUGCCUUUUGUAGAAUGAACCGGCGAGUUACGAUUUGUUGCAAGGUUAAGCGGAAAAAGCGGAGCCGUAGCGAAAGCGAGUCUGAAUAGGGCGCAUAAGUAACAGGUCGUAGACCCGAAACCAGGUGAUCUACCCAUGUCCAGGAUGAAGGUAAGGUAAUACUUACUGGAGGUCCGAACCCACGCACGUUGAAAAGUGCGGGGAUGAGGUGUGGGUAGCGGAGAAAUUCCAAUCGAACUUGGAGAUAGCUGGUUCUCUCCGAAAUAGCUUUAGGGCUAGCCUCGAGGUAAAGAGUCAUGGAGGUAGAGCACUGUUUGGACUAGGGGCCCUUCUCGGGUUACCGAAUUCAGAUAAACUCCGAAUGCCAUGUACUUAUACUCGGGAGUCAGACUGCGAGUGAUAAGAUCCGUAGUCGAAAGGGAAACAGCCCAGACCACCAGUUAAGGUCCCCAAAUAUAUGUUAAGUGGAAAAGGAUGUGGGGUUGCUUAGACAACCAGGAUGUUGGCUUAGAAGCAGCCACCAUUGAAAGAGUGCGUAAUAGCUCACUGGUCGAGUGACCCCGCGCCGAAAAUGUACCGGGGCUAAACAUAUUACCGAAACUGUGGAUGAACCUCUUUAGAGGUUCGUGGUAGGAGAGCGUUCUAAGGGCGGUGAAGUCAGACCGGAAGGACUGGUGGAGCGCUUAGAAGUGAGAAUGCCGGUAUGAGUAGCGAAAGAAGGGUGAGAAUCCCUUCCACCGAAUAUCUAAGGUUUCCUGAGGAAGGCUCGUCCGCUCAGGGUUAGUCGGGACCUAAGCCGAGGCCGAUAGGCGUAGGCGAUGGACAACAGGUAGAGAUUCCUGUACCAGUGCUAAUUGUUUAACCGAUGGGGUGACACAGAAGGAUAGGGAAUCGCACGAAUGGAAAUGUGCGUCCAAGCAGUGAGUGUGAGAAGUAGGCAAAUCCGCUUCUCGCGAAGCAUGAGCUGUGAUGGGGAAGGAAAUUAAGUACGGAAGUUCCUGAUUUCACGCUGUCAAGAAAAGCCUCUAG
rnacentral:rRNA from 1 species